CAGCUGGAUUAUCCCAUUACCUUCACUAUGGUGCCCAGGCAGCUGGAUUAUCCCAUAACCCUCACUGUGGUGCCCAGGCAGCCGGAUUAUCCCAUUACCUUCAGUGUGGUGCCCAGGCAGCCGGAUUAUCCCAUUACCUUCAGUGUGGUGCCCAGGCAGCUGGAUUAUCCCAUAACCCUCACUGUGGUGCCCAGGCAGCUGGAUUAUCCCAUUACCUUCACUAUGGUGCCCAGGCAGCUGGAUUAUCCCAUUACCUUCACUAUGGUGCCCAGGCAGCUGG
rnacentral:lncRNA from 1 species